rnacentral:misc_RNA from 1 species
AACGCACCUUGCACCCUUUGGUAUUCCGAAGGGUAUGCCUGUUUGAGUGUUAUUAAAUUCUCAAUUCUUAACUUGUUUACUCCGGUUAGGGCUUGGAUAUGGGAGUUGCUGGCUUCACUGGAGGUCAGCUCUUCUUAAAUGCAUGAGUGGUCUGGGUUCAUUCGAACCUUUUGGAUCCCACUGGCUUGGUGUAAUAGUCUAUUUGCGCCUUGCAUAUACAGUUGGUUGAUCUUGACUGCUUUCUAACAGUUUCCUAUGGAAACAAUUUGAACCAUUUAACCUCAAAUCAGGUAGGACUACCCGCUGAACUUAA